rnacentral:misc_RNA from 1 species
UCUCUCGGCUGGUAGUCUUGG